rnacentral:ncRNA from 1 species
AGUUCAGUCAGAGAAACCGUAGGAAAACACUGCUGGCCAGACUGUCCUUUCUGCUGGAAGAGCCUCCACUGAAAAUAGUACUACUACUACUUAAAAGAAACAAACCAACAAGACCCAGUGUUUUAGAGUGCACUCAUUGAGAAGUUUGAUACGUUUUCCAAAAGAAAUUGAAGUGUUCACAGCUGGCUGGCCAACAGUGCACUCCAGCCAGGAACAACAGAAUAGGACUUUGGCUCUUUUUCUGUUGUUUUUUGGAAGCAGGGCCAUGAUUAAGAGCAAUGGCUGGGGGCAUUCAUAUUGUGCCGUUUGAACUGGAAUUCUUGAACCAGUGCAAGAUGAACUAAAGCAAAAGCAUUUGCCAAGAAUAUUUUCAUUACUUAAGAACAAAUGCUGAAGGCUUGUGGCCAACUCACUACCCAGUGGUAUUACUCCCAUCACCCACCAGGCAGCUCGCAGGACACUCAAGUCUUUGGGA